rnacentral:rRNA from 1 species
UACGUAGGGGGCGAGCGUUGUCCGGAGUUACUGGGCGUAAAGCGCACGCAGGCGGUCUGUUAAGUUUUGGAGUGACAGUUGGUGGCUUAACUGCCAAAGUGCUUCGAAAAACUGACAGACUUGAGGGCUUCAGAGGGACACGGAAUUCCGGGUGGAGUGGUGAAAUGCGUAGAGAUCCGGAGGAACACCAAAGGCGAAGGCAGUGUCCUGGGGAGUACCUGACGCUCAGGUGCGAAAGCCAGGGGAGCGAACGGG